CAGUUAAAGCUCUCUGUGCUCCCUGU
rnacentral:piRNA from 1 species